GAUGAACGCUGGCGGCGUGCCUAAUACAUGCAAGUCGAGCGAACAGACGAGGAGCUUGCUCCUCUGACGUUAGCGGCGGACGGGUGAGUAACACGUGUAUAACCUACCUAUAAGACUGGGAUAACUUCGGGAAACCGGAGCUAAUACCGGAUAAUAUAUUGAACCGCAUGGUUCAAUAGUGAAAGACGGUUUUGCUGUCACUUAUAGAUGGAUCCGCGCCGCAUUAGCUAGUUGGUAAGGUAACGGCUUACCAAGGCAACGAUGCGUAGCCGACCUGAGAGGGUGAUCGGCCACACUGGAACUGAGACACGGUCCAGACUCCUACGGGAGGCAGCAGUAGGGAAUCUUCCGCAAUGGGCGAAAGCCUGACGGAGCAACGCCGCGUGAGUGAUGAAGGUCUUCGGAUCGUAAAACUCUGUUAGUAGGGAAGAACAAAUGUGUAAGUAACUAUGCACGUCUUGACGGUACCUAAUCAGAAAGCAACGGCUAACUACGUG
rnacentral:rRNA from 1 species